rnacentral:lncRNA from 1 species
AAAAAAAAAAAAAAGAGAAAACCCCAUCAACCUAGAUUUCUAUAUCCAGCAAAAGUAUCCUUCAAAAGUGAAGAAAACAUUGUGUAUGUAAAGGCUACAGAAUGGUGGAUUUUAUGAUGGUUUAAAAAUGGUGACAUCCAUGUUAUAGAAAUUUUUUGCUCUCACAAAAAGAAUGAAAGAGAAACAAAAACUUUUUGAGGGCCAGGCACGGUGGCUCACACCUGUAAUCGCAGCACUUUGAGAGGCCAAGGCAGGAAGAUUGCUUGAGCCCAGGAGUUUGAGACAAGCCUGAGUGACAUAGUGAGACCCCAACUUUACAAAACAAUUAAAAAUUAGCUGAGUGUGGUGGCACGGUCCUGUAGUCCCAGCUACUUGGGAGGCUGAAGUGGGAUCCUUUGAGCCUGAGAGGUCGAGGCUGCAGUGAACCAUGUUUGGCCACUGCACUGCAGCCUGGGUGACAGUCAAGACCCUGUUUCAAAACAAAACAAAAAAAAAAAUACUUUCUCAGACAAGCAAAAAAAUGAGAGUUAUUGCCAGCCAAUCUGCCCUACAAAACAUGUUAAAAGCAGCUCUUAAGGGAGAAGGGAAGAGAUAUAGGUUAGAAACUCAGAUCCACAUAAAGGAACUGUCAGGAAAGGAGUACAUGAAGACAAUAGAAAAUCUUUUACAUUUCCUAUUCUUAGUUGAUCUAGUAGGUAACUGCCUGGCUAAAGUAAUAAUAGUAACAUUGUGUUGGGGUCCAUAGUAAAGGAUAGGUGAAAUCAAGAAUAGCACUCUUACAAGGGUGAGGAGAGAGGAACUGGGAAUACUCUGCUAGAAGACAGCUGCACUGCCCAUGAAGUGGUAAAGUGCAAUUUGAAAGUGGAUGUUGAUUAGUUGCAAAUCUAUAUUGCGAACUCUAGGACAAUGAAUUAAAAUGUUUUGAAAGAAGUAUAAUUAUAAUGCUAGAAAGUAAAAAGAGUGGAAUCAUGUAAAAUUCUCAGUUAAACCAGAAAAGACAGAAAAAGAAGGGAAGGUAAGAAAAACAAGGACAAGUGCACCUGCUAGAAAACAGCGGCAGACAUGGUAGAUAUUAAUCCAACUAUCUCAAUAAUCACUUUAAAUGUGAAUGGCGCUAAAUAUACCAACUAAAACACAAAGACUGCCAGUAGAUUAAAAAAAAAAGACCCAAUGAUAUGUUGUCUGUAAAAAAACCCAUUUUAAAUAUAAAGACACAAAUAGCAUAAAAAUAAAGGUAUAAAGAAAGAUAUACCAUGUUAAUACUAAUCAAAAGAAAACUGGAGUAGCAGUAUUGAUAUCAGAUAAGGCAAACUUCAGAGGGAGAAAAAUGAUCAGGGAUAAAGAGGGGCAUUAUAUAAUAAGAGGGUCAAUACUCCAAGAAGACAUUGUUAAAUCCUUAAUGUGUAUGCACCUAACAACAGAGCAUCAACGUAUGUGAAGCAAAAACUAAUAGAACUGCAAGAGAAAUAGACAAGUCCACUAUUAUAGUUGGAGACUUCAACACUCUUCUAUCAGUAAUUGACACAUUUAGCAGGCAAAAAAAUCAGUAAGGAUAUAGCUGAACUGGACAAUACUGUCAAGCCACUGAAUCUAAUUGACAUUUACAGUAUACUUCAUUCAACAGAGUACAUAUUCUUCUCAAGCUCACAGGAAACAUCCACCAAGAUAGACUACAUACUUGGCCUUAAGAUACACCUUACAAAUUUCAAAGAAUACAAACCAUAUAAAGUGUGCUCUCAGAGGAAAUUAAACAAAAUCAAAAACAGAAACGUAGAUGGGAAAUCUCAAAAUAACUGGAGAUUAAACAAAACACUUCUAGAUACCAGAUGGGUCAAAGAAGAAGUCUGAACAGAAAUUUUAAAAUGUUUUGAACUAAAUAAAAAUGAAAAUACAAUGUAUCAAAAUUUAUAGGAAGCAGUGAAAGUAGUGGUUGGAGAUAAAUUAUAAUAUUGAAUGCCUAUAUUAGAAGAGAUUAAAAAGAUUUAAAAUUCAUAAUCUAAGUUUCCAUCUUAGGAAACUAGAGAAGAAAGAUCAGUGUAAGCCUAAAGCAAGCAAAAGGAUAGAAAUAAAAAUUAUAGUAGAAAUCAAUAAAAUAGAAAACAAGAAACCAAUAGAAAAAUUCAGUGAAGUAAAAAUGUGCUAAUUUGUGCAGCAGCAAUAGAAAAAAGAAAUAAAAACAGUACUUUCACAGGUCAGUAAAAUGUAUAAACCUCUAGCUAAGCUAACUAAGAAAAAAAAACACAGAUUGCUGAUAACAGAAAUGAGAAAGGGGUCAUCACUACUGAUCCCAAGGACAUUAAAAAGAUAACAAAAGAAUAUUAUGAGCAACUCUGUACCCACAGAUUUGACAGCUUAGGUGAAACAGAUCAAUUUCUUGAAAGACACAAACAACCAAAACUCACACAGGGAAAAGAGAUGAUCUGAAUAGGCCUAUAUCUAUUAUGGAAAUUGAUAAAUUAUGGAAGUCAAUAAACAACCUUGCAAACAAGAAAGCACCAGACCCAGUGGUUUUGUUGUCAAAUCUAGCAAACAUUAUGGAAGAAAUGGUACCAAUUCUCUACAUUCUCUUCCCAAAAAAUAGAAGUGAAGGGAAUACUUCCUAACUCAUUUCAUGAAGUUAGCAUUUCCUGUAUCAAAAUCAGAUAAAAACAUUGGAAGAAAGGAAAACUACAGACCAAUACCUCUCAUGAACGUAGAUCAGCGGUCUCCAACCUUUUUGGCAACAGGUACCAGUUUUAUGGAAGAUAAUUUUUCCAUGGGACAUGGUGGGUGGGGCAGAUGGUUUCGGGAUGAAACUGUUGCACCUCAGAUCAUCAGGCAUUAGUUAGAUUCUCAUAAGGAGCUUGCAACCUAGAUCCCUCAUAUGUGCUGUUCACAAUAGGGUUCACACUCCUGAGAAUCUAAUGCUGUCGCUGAUCUGACUAGAGGCAGAGCUCAGGUGGCAAUCCUGGCUCACCUGCCACUCACCUCCUGCUAUGUGGCCUGAUACUGUUACUAGUCCCAGGCCUGAGGGUUAGGGAUCCCUGAUAUAAAUGCAACUAUUAGCAAAAUAUUAG